rnacentral:misc_RNA from 1 species
AAGUCGUAACAAGGUUUCCGUAGGUGAACCUGCGGAAGGAUCAUUAACACGUAUCCAACGUUAAAACCCCCCGUGAACCUUUAUUGUGGCACGCCUAUCCGUUAGAAAGUGGCAAUCCCUGGUAAAUCAUCGCCGAACAGUUUUGAUUCAGGGACUUCUGCGUGGGUAGGACAACUGCGCGAGCAAGUGGCCUGGCAUCCCUCUGCUUGUUAGUGUCUGAAAGUGUCACUAGCUCUGUACGGGUGGCGCAAUCACGAUCGCUAGAGGCCAACACGGCCGGCGACCGGGUCAAUGGGCCUCGGCCCCCUAGGCCACCAAACUCGAACAACUGUUAACAAUGGAUAUCUUGGUUCUC